UUUUUUUUUCCUAUAUUAACGAAGUUUUAAGUUUUGAACGUAGGGGGAUUUUCUUUUGAGGUUCCUUCUUACAUUUUAAAUUAAAGGGUAAAUUACACAUUAGUUUUUGAGUUUUAGCAUAAUUAACAGAUCGUUCUGCAUUUUUUAAAUCGAACACUUAAAUUUCUCUAUGAUUAGUCUGUCCAAAUUAGAGGUCUCUCGAUCCAUUUUUACCGUUAAAAGUGUGGAAAUGUCUUUAUUACCCUUUUUAAACAUUUUGAUUCUUUACUUUUUUAUUUUAUAAAACACUUACGUUUCUAUUAACUUUUGUCUAUAAUAUUUCAUUUAACUAAUUUUUAAUUUUUUUUGUUUUUCAAUUUUCAUUAUUAAAAUACUCCAAUAUUUAUAACUUCAAAAUUUUUAGAAAACAUUUAUAACUUCAGUUGUUUUUAAGUGGUAUCAAAUAACUUUUAAGUUAUAAAUUUUUAUAAAGAGUAUUUUGAAAAGAAAUUUUCAGAAAAAAUUUGAUAUCCACUAGUUUUGAAUUAAUAUGUAUAAUAAAUGGAAGAAUUGUGAUUUUAGAUGGAUUAAAUAUAGGGGAUUCAAUAAUUUAAUUUUAAAAAUAUAAGAACUGAUUCGUCAAUUACUUAAAAUUUAGAAACGAAAGUGUAGUUUAUACAAUAUAAAAUUACUUACAGGGUUUAAGUGGUUAUGAGGGUAUUUUAGGUAUUUGAACUUUCAUGAGGGUAUUUUAGGUAUUUGAACUGGUUAUUUGAACUUUAACCUGUUGACGAACAGAUUUAUGGAUGAAAGGACCUUCAAUUUAGACAAAUUAAUUAUAUAAGAAUUUAAGCAUUCGAUUUUAAAAAUAUAGGUAGGGAUCUAUGUGUUAAUUACGUUAAAAUUCUGGAAUUAAAGUUUAAUUUAUCUUAAAUUAAAAAAAGACCGAAUCAAAAGCAUUUGCAAUGUAUAAUAGGUUACGACAUUAAUUGAACAACAAAAGCAUUUGCAAUGUAUAAUAGGUUACGACCUUAAUUGAACAACGCGGGUGGCCUAGUUUGUCUCGGGUGCCAUUAUUUGUUGAAAUGAAGUUAAAUUAGUUUGCUCACAAGAACUGCACAACGGCAAUGCCUCUUGUGAAUAUCAACUCGAUAGAACACAUUUUCUUUUCAAGUUUGAGAAUUUCGAUUUUUACAAUUGACAUCAUAUGUAUGGUAUAUGGUUAAUAUUUUUCCUGGGCAGUGCUAAUGUGCUACAGUUGGAUACUUGGAUCUUGCCAUUCCACUAUUUCGCUCCUUUAAAAGAAAGAAAGAAAUUAUUAACAAUUUUUUUUAAAAAAAGAAAUUAUUAACAAUUUUCAUCUUUUUACAUUUUAAUGAUAUUCGUGUUCUGCAGCUCAAUGGAGGGACGAACUUGGUCAAUUUAGGGCUAAAAGGAACUUGAAGAAAUACACAUGAUAGGUGAGAAUAUCAGUACCCCCUUAAUUUUAAUGAAAAAUUCGGCACACGCAUGUUGGAUUGAAUGAAUUUAACGGAGUAUUUGUUCAUGUUUCAGGUAUUCCACGAGAAAUUGUAUAUAGAAACCAUUGUUGGAAGCUGAUGAGGUCAGCUGCGUUCAGCAGUAACCAAUCAUGUUCCUUUCUCUUUCUACCAAUGUGUAUGUAACAGAAUUCGUGGAUAUGUAUAUAAAUAACAUUGCUUAUGCAACAUUUCUGCUUAUUAUUCUGAUCUGGAUGCUGAAGCUUAUUAGCUAUUUAAUUGCACGAUGGGUUCUUGCACUUUGCUGUUCAGUGCUCGAAAUAGAUAUUAUAUUAAUAAUAAUUACUCGAUUAUUUCUUAUUUUGUUUCAUUCAUAAAUUAUUUGUGAAUAAAAUAAUAAUUUUAAUAUUUUCCCUCCAUUUAAUAUUUUUAAAAAAAUUGUGCGUCACCUUUUCCAAUAGUUUCAAGGCAGUGAUUUCAGAAAUACUAGCCGUCUUUCCUUUGAAAUUUCAGCAUACUACUAAGUUUCGUUUUUCUCCCAGGAAAGAUGUUUGGCUAAAGUAUUUUACAAGCGGUUUGUGCUGAUAAAUUAUUUUAAAAUUAUUUUAAAAUUAUAUAUUUAAUUAAAAUGCUUGUACAUUAUUAACCAACGAUUAAUAUAUUUAAUAAAAAAAUGUUUGUAAAUAGCUAUCAUUAAAAUUAUUAAAAAUUAAAUAAAAUACGUGCAAAAUUUGAAAACUAAAUAAGCGCAAUAAAAUAAAAUAUUUAGUUAAACCAAUUAUAAAUUCUGAAAGCGUCAAAAUGAAACGCUAUUUUUUAAUUUAUUUUUUUUUAGCCUUGUAAUUUAUUUUUUUUAAGUUUAUAAGGAAAAAAUAUUAUAACCAAAUUUAAGUUUAUAAGAAAAAAAUAUUAUAAUCAAAUAAAUUUAUUAAUUUUUUUUCUUUAAAAAAAUAUUAAAAAUUAAAAUAAUAGAAUUUAAACCUCUUAAAUUUCUUGAGAUGUACUAAUAUUAGAUUAAAUAGAUGAGUGCUAGUUUCAUUAUUUAUAAACUUAAAAAUCUUCUAAAAAUUAAUACACCUUCUAUUUGAAAAAAAUAAAAUAAUUAAUAUACACACGAAAGAAAUGUAACUACAACGACAUUGAAAAAUCAUUAUCUUUGGGAAAAAAAAAAACAAAAAAACCAAAAACAAAAAAACAAACCGACUAAUCAAUCGAAGAAAGUUAAAAAUAAGUUAACCUUGAUACUACGCACUGGCUAGAAGAUGAAGAUAGCAAAAUUCCCGCCAAGCAAACCUGAACGCAUCCCGUUAUUGACUGCAUGCGGAUGUAGGACCCAUCCGUACCAACCACCGCUGGACAAGAAGAAAGAUCCCAGCCAUUAUUCGGCACCGUCUGUCGGCUUUCUUUUUCCAUCGGUUUACUAUCGAAUCCACCUCAAUCUCCUCUCUCUCUCUCUCUCUCUCUCUCUCUCUCUCUCUCUCUGCUACAGCUUUCUUUUACUCUUCCAGCUGGAGCUGUAGCCAACGAAAGAUCGCUAGAUAUUGAAAAUUGAAUUCUGCAGAUGCGAGAUCCGUAUUAGCAAUUCCGUUUUAUCUUCGGGUGGUCAACUUAUCUUCUUCUUCUUCUACUACUUUUUCUUUUUUUGCUUGUGGCGAUUGUUUUCUUUUCUGUAAUCGCAUUCGAUCUUCAUAGCUGAAAAUCAACAUGUCGGGACCAUUGGAUCGCUUCGCAAGGCCUUGUAAGCGCCUCCUUCUUUGACUCAUUCAAUUCUUCACCGAAUAACUUUCUUUUUCAUCUUCUAUUUUUGUGGAUUUUUAGGGUUCUAAAUUUUCGGUUACUUGUUAGUUAUAGAGUUUGUUUGUUAAGCUUCCUGUUAAUGGUAGUAAAUUAUGCACCGAAAAUUCUUCUGGCAUUUUUGGUAAGCUUAGGUUCCAGUUCAUAUAGCGUAUAAAUUAAUUUAUUAACUCAAAUUGCAAAUGUGGGAACUAUACAUGUCUAAUAAUUCUUGUCCAAGGUAGUGAAGAAUUGAUUCGUAAUCAAUUUUACAUUUGAAUUUGAGUACAAUCUUUCGACCUUCGUCCAUGUUCUGCAGGCUUCGAGGGCUUUUCCGGCAAUGAUGAAAGGAGAGAACGGAAAUCAGAUUUUGAGAACUCGGAGGAUGACAGGAAGACUAGAAUUGGGAAUCUAAAGAGGAAGGCAAUGAAGGCAUCUAAAAAAAUCAGACGUUCUCUCCAUAAAAGGAAGAGCAAAUGUAGUGAAGAGAUUUCAGCGGCAAUUGAGGAUGUUCGGGAUGUUGAAGAGUUGCAGGCUGUGGAUGCAUUUAGACAGGCACUCUAUGCGGAUGACUUGCUUCCUGCUAGACAUGAUGAUUAUCACAUGUUGCUGAGGUGAUUUUCCUUCUCUUCUCAUUUGUUUUAUGAAUGAAAAUACCAGUCGCUGUUGCAUUUUUGCUUUCUUGAAGUUUGUCUUUCACUUGGAUCACUUUUGGGAUUAUGGCAGUGUUUCUAGUUGUUGCUUCUUUUAGUUAUUUGCAAGACUCUACUAUUAAUUGGGGUAAUGACUAAAAAUCCAAACCUCUGACGCUAUUUUCAAUCAAAGUUAAUUCUUUAAUUUGUGCAAAAGAUGAUAAACGUUUCAGCAUCACGUGGUUUCUCAGAUGUUUAAUUGGGAGUCUGAUAUGAACUAUUGGGUUGAUAUUCAAUUAUAGUUAAUAUUCAAUUUGCGUAAAAGCUUACUGAACAUUUUGACGCGUUAUUGAAGUUAACUUAGGAGUUAUAUUUGUUGUUGAAUUAGGAAAGUUAGAUUUUUAUUAUUUGAGAAUUCCAUUAGGUUUACUGUGUAGUUAUUUUUGAGCUUUUUGUUGAUUUGAGAUUUCUUGAUAAUAGGACUAGUUAUUUUGCUAUAAAUACAUAUGUUACCUAGGGAUUUUUCUAGGAAAUUAUUAUGAUUAUGAUUGAGAGUUAAUAAAAGUUUGAGAAUUUCUUUCUCUAGAGAAUGUGUUCCUCACCCCCCUAAUUCCCAGAACUCUCUCGUUCUACAUUACAUUUCGCAAUAUGUGAGGUCGAGUGCUUUCUCUAUUUGUAAGCAUAACAAACAUACCAAGGCUUGCUUAUUAACUCUUCAAGAUGAAAAAAAUUAGUUCCUCACCCCNNCAACAAAGGAAAAAAACACCAUCUGGUGUUAUUUUUCAAAUACCCAUGGCAUGUCUUUAGAUUGCAGUUGUAUACCUGGUAUAACAUUGCAAGUAGUCUUUUAUGAUUUAACAGUUAAAGCUUCAACAUGACUUCAGCUAUCAUCUCUUGCCAUCUUCUUUGUGACUUCCACACAGGCUGUGUAGGAGUUCCAGUUGGAUAGUGAUAACAAUCAUAGUUUUAUUGCUUAUAUUGGUUUUCCUCUCAAAUCUCAAUUAACAGAAUUGCAAUUUAGCUUCUAUGAGUAUAUAAUUUCAUGUUCAAUAUUUAUGAACUUUAUUGUUUUUUAGAUAAGAAUUGGGUAAUUAAAUAUGUUCAUAGUGAAAUUGACAGCUUUUAUUCUUCUAUACAAAAUAAAACAAGUUAUAUCUGCUUGGCUGCAUCAGAUUACUCCCUAUUUAUUCAGCCUCAUGGUCGAGAAUCAACCUUUUUCAGGUUCUUAAAAGCAAGAAAGUUUGAUAUUGAAAAAGCAAAGCAAAUGUGGGCCAAUAUGAUUCAGUGGAGGAAAGACUUCGGCACUGACACAAUUAUGGAGGUAAUAUCAUCUUAUUAUUUCCCUGAACCUAUUGCAAUCUUUGCUACCAUGUCAUGUAUUUCUUGUUACUAUAUUCCUGGCUAUUCCUCAGUUCAGCAGUUCUGCCUUUUAUUCUCUCUCUCUCUCUCUCUCUCUCUCUCUCUCUCUCUCUCUCUCUCAAAAUUAUUAAGUUGAUAUGGUAUUAUUUCCCUUAUGUUGUAAGGUAUCUUUUUUCUUUUCCCAGGAUUUUGAGUUCAAUGAGUUGAAUGAAGUCCUAAAGUACUACCCUCAGUGUUAUCAUGGUGUAGACAAAGAGGGUAGGCCUGUAUACAUUGAAAGACUAGGGAAAGUUGAUCCCAGCAAACUCAUGCAAGUAACCACUAUGGAACGAUAUUUGAAAUAUCAUGUGCAGGAGUUUGAAAAGAGUUUUGCAAUUAAAUUUCCUGCUUGCUCUAUUGCUGCAAAAAGACAUAUAGAUUCAAGUACAACUAUUCUGGAUGUGCAAGGCGUGGUAUGUUCUCUGUUAUUUUUUUUAUUUAUUUAAAUUUUUAACAUUUUAAAUUCUGCUAGGGCAGUAGGGCACCAUUUCAAGUUUGGCAUAGUAGAAUUAUAACUAGUCGUGUAUUUCUUGCUCAAAUGAAUCUGCUCAUUAGGGUUUAAAAAACUUUACCAAGUCCGCACGGGAACUCGUCAUACAGCUGCAAAAGAUUGAUGGUGACAACUACCCUGAGGUAAAAUUGCUUUCAGAUUCUUAAAAGGUUUCUGAGAAUGACAAAUUGACAAUCCUUUUAUUUUGGGAUUCAAAAAUUGAGAGUAUAUCCACCUAAAGUUCCAAAUUUUGCAGACACUUUGCCGAAUGUUUAUAAUAAAUGCUGGUCCUGGCUUUAAGUUGCUUUGGAACACGGUGAAAUCAUUUCUCGAUUCUCAAACAGCUAGCAAGAUUCAUGUGAGUAGUUCUUUUCUCAUUUAUGUUAAAUUAUCUACUAUACUUGAGAAAUCAUUGCAUUGGCUGAUUUUUGAAAUGACCUCAGGUUCUUGGCAACAAGUACCAGAACAAAUUACUUGAAAUAAUAGAUGCAAGGUAAUUAAAUUUUUUAUGAUUUGAUUUUGCUGGUUGUUCCCAUUUUAAUUGUACCAUGUAAAACUUCUGAAGUAUCUUCAAACUCGUCUAGGGAGUUGCCAGAAUUUCUGGGAGGUAGCUGUUCUUGUGCUGAUCAGGGAAGUUGUAUGAGAUCUGACAAGGGGCCAUGGAAAGAUCCAAAUAUUCUAAAGGUUUGUGAUUAUGUUGUAAUUAUUGAUUGUUUUAUUGUAUGACUUUGUUUCACUAUAUCUUUUGCCCUUUCUUGGGUGAAUAUACUGCAUAUUUUUAACCAAUAAGAUUGUUUGUUUGCAUGCAGAUGGUUGAGAACGGUGAAGCACUAUAUUCCAGAGAAAUAGUAACAAUAUCAAACAGUGAAGGAAGGGUGAUUGCUUCUGAUAAGCAACGUUAUUCCAUGGUAUUAUCCUACAGACUUUCUUUCACCACAUAGAGCCUGAUUCUUUUCUUACAAUUAAAACUGAAAUCACAUGUUCUCUGAUGUGGAUUUCAUUCUUCUGCAAUUCAGAUAAAAACUAGUGAUACAUCUACUGCAGAGUCAGGAUCUGAAGUGGAAGAUGUUGCAUCUCCUAAACCAAAUAGGAGCUAUUUGCUCCCAAGUUUGGCUCCUGUCUGCGAAGAAGUAAGAAUUUGUUGACAAUUCAAAGAAUUUAAUACAUGCUGGGAACAUCCAGUUUACUUGGGUUUUAUUUGAGGGUUUCUAUUUUUGUGAGUUUGAAGAGUUAAAAGUUCUCUUGAUUAAAACUGCAGUUUAAUUUGUUGUCUUCUACUUCUUGUGUACUAAUUACUUGAUAAGGUUGCAUGGGUGGCAUGUGGCAUGUCUCGGUGGAAAACUAGAACUUUCUACACUUCAACCAUCUGUUUUUUAGCAAUGGAUGUGAACCUGCCAUGUAUGCAGUUUAGGAGUUUCUGGCCUGUUCUUUUUGAAUUUCUGGACUAUGAAGACAUGCUUGCAGUUGAAAUCACAGAAAAUUACAUCUUUAUAUUUGAUGCAACAAUUCCUUCUUUUUUUAGUAGUAAAGUCUUAUGCCUAGGUAUUGUGGAUGAUCUCCCUUGUAGGUUAAUGAUUUGGUCGUUGGUUGCCAAAAUCAAGACAAUAAUGACUUUAGACAAUUUAAUUAAUAUUCUUUAUUAGAUAAUUCUGUCUCACAAAUUUUCCUUCUGUCUAUUGAUGUGCAUUAAUGAUGCAUGCAUAAUCUUUGAAUUUUUUUCCCUUCACCCAGAAUUCUCAAGUGGUAUCAUGUACUUUUACCCUGAAAUUCUUGUAACAUAUAUUUUUCAGGUUCCAAUUUAUUUUUGAAGUUGAAUCAUCUCCUCAUGUGCAUGCAGUCUUAUUUACUAAUGCAAAGUUUUAGGUAUCUGGAGAAAUGUCAUUAACAGAUUGAUAAAUGCAUAGCUGUGUCACAAAUCAUAUUAUCCGUAUUUCGUGAUAUGUUUGAUAAGAAGUAAAACUUCAUCUAUUCAUUGAUUGCUAUUCUAGGAUGUUAACAGUUCCAAAGUAUGGUGGGGUCUAUCGUCUAUGUAAGUUUUAUUUAAAUUGGUUCAAGUACAAUGACCAGAACCUGUUAAAUUACUUCAACAAAAAUCAAUGGCUAUAUGAGUGCACGCAUAUGUAAUGCGAAGAGAUGCCUGAAUUCAACUCAUUGGUAUAUUUGCUUGGAUGUUUAUACAGGCUAAGGUGAUUGGUAAGGCAAGUGCUGCUGGAGGCUUCUCAGAAUAUGAUGAAUAUGUACCCAUGAUUGACAAGACUGUAGAUGAUGGAUGGAAGAAACAAGUCUCCUUUAAAGAGCCUCGUACGUCCAAAGGUUAUCAAGUUUAAGUGCAGUAGGCUCUGAGCAUUAUGCCCUCUUCAUCUUCUUUUUUUUUUUUAAUGAGAUUGUCCUUGUCUUAAAUGGGAUUUAAUUUUAGUUUUGCUAUGAUAUUAUAUUGGUUGGACACUGAAAAUGUUCAAUAAAAUUCACUGUAGGAACACUGCCUCUACCAAUUGUGGAAAAAACUCCAGAAGGAUUUUUCGCUUGUAUUUGGGCUCUGCUUAUGGCAUUCUUCUUGACUUUACUAUCUGUCAUCCAUUCAUUGCCGAUUUGGGUGACUAAGAAAAACCCUGUGCCUAAUUCUGUCCUUGAUGCCACUGAUCCAACUCUUGAACCAGUGCUUAAGGAGGAGUUUCGUCCCCCUUCUCCUGCUCCAAGAUUUACUCAGGUGGACCUGCUUUCAUCUGUGCUGAAAAGGCUGGGUGAGCUUGAAGAGAAGGUCGACAUGCUACAAGUGAAGCCUUUUCGAAUGCCUUAUGAGAAGGAGGAGCUACUGAAUGCUGCAGUUUGUCGGGUGGAUGCUCUAGAAGCUGAGCUAAUUUCGACAAAGAAGGUAAUCAUGUCUCCUAUUCUCAAAUGGAAGAGACACAUCCUCAAUUCCUUAUCUCAAAGCAAUAAUCAAUAGUCAUUAGAAAAUCUAUCACAAAUAAGUAGAGCAAAUAAUCCUAUGUAUGGAGAGUAUUUGCAAACCUGAUCAAACAAGGUUUAGGAAUCAUGAUUGCAGUUCUAAUUAGGAAUCACAAAUCACAGGUCAAAUAAAACUAAGCUUCUAAAUAAAAUAAACGUCCAUUUCGUAUAUUUUCCUAAAAUAAGUAGUCCUAAAAUCCUUAGAAUUUCCCAUGUCAUAUAGUCAAAUGGUACAAAUUUUUUGUCUGCUUUCUUUAGCUUAUUCAGCAAUUACUGAGGUGCCUAACUGUACAUGUAGUUGUUAGAUGCAUUGAUUCAGAACUCAAUUACCGGGUAGCACGUUGGGCAACUCUUUCCCUGGGCAAAACACGUGGCUAUAAAUGAUCUCAUGAGUGUCAUCUUACUGUGUUCCGUGGAAUUCUCCUAAGGCACUGAAGCAGUGAAUCUCUCUCUCUUCCUGUGUCUCUCUUUCUGCAAAUGUGUUAUUGGAAAAGCAACUAUAUUAUACAUUUAUACUAUCUGUAAUUAGAUUUGGCAUUUAUCAAAAACUAUUUAGGUAGACUAACAAUGGCUUUAGCUGGAGUAAAGUUGUAAAAAUGAUUUUAUAUUACAAUAACUCACAGAAAGCUGAUCUUGAGCAUCAUAUAGAAAAGGGGUCCAUGUAAUUCCCAAGUAGCUAGGUUUGUGAACUUGUCAUGCACACAACUUUUCAAGAGGGAAGUGGGUUGGCGCCAUUGAGUGUUGGCAAUACAUGACCAGUGGUUUUGGGGCCAGACAGUCUCCUCUUUUCCAUAUAAUCAACUGAAUAUUGAGGUCACAGGUGUGAACUUCCAUGGAUGAAUUUGACAAAGGGGAAAAGUACAGUAUCCUUAGGCUCCAUGUUUUGGUAUGCUAAGGGAGUUAUCUUCUUCAGCCCCAUAACAAACCUACUUUUAAGUUUCCUGGAAUUAGCAAUACACAUCACAGCAUUCACUGCAUGCACAGUAAACUGGUAGAAGUGUGUUGGCUACUUUCUAAUACGAAUGUUUUCUACUUGCAGGCUUUGCACGAAGCUUUAAUCAGACAAGAAGAGCUUCUUGCGUAUAUAGAUAGACAAGAGGAAGACAGAUAUCGGGUAAGUUGAACAGUAUAUUCUCGCAAAAAUUUAUGCUGGAUCAUCAAAAUAUUGAUCCAUGUUCUUAUAAAUCCUCUCUCUCUCUCUCUUUUCUAAUGCAGAAAAAGAAGUUUUGCUGGUGAAGAAUAGUUAAGUGCAGAGGAGAAAAUAUUUCCAUCUUCAUUCAUGUCCUUGCCUCGUCUUCCGGAGAAGUGUGGCACGUACAUGGAAUCAGAAUUUACUAUGAAAAUGAUUUAGAAAAAAGGGAAAAAAAAAAGGAGAUUCUUCUCGUAUUGAGCUCAGAAGAUGUAUAUAACUUUGAUGUUCCGAAAUGUGAAACGUUGAUGUAAAUUUACAAAUUACAAUAGAGGAUAAACACUACUGUUGCCGAUCACAAUAAAAUUUGAAACAUUAAUGUAAAUUUACAACUGAUAUUAUAAGAUUCAAUAAAGGGCAGGUUAAAUAUAUAUUUUGGUAAGUUUGAUCUAAUUUACAUUUUUUUUUCUUUUUUGUCAUGUCGAAACUGCAGUUCUGCGUUUACAUUUUAUUAUUGUCACACUAUUUUUUUUUUUUCCUUUUAUCCUUUAGAGACGUAUAACUGCUAUUCUGCAUGUAUAUUCUAUUAUUGUCACGCUGGACUGUACAUACAGAUAUAUUAUAUCAUUUUCUAUUACCAUGCGACCAUUUAAUUUUAUUUUUCUAUUAUUAUGCGAUCAUUUAAUUUUAUUUGACACUUUUAUAUUAUAUUAUUUUUUAUUAUCAUGCGACCAUUUAAUUUUAUUUUUCUAUUACUAUGCGAUCAUUUAAUUUUAUUUAGCACCGUGUGCAUAUGAUCUCGAAUGUUUAAGGUAUAUUGUUUCGCGAAUCCAUGAAAUUGAUUGGAUUGAACCUCUUGCUCGUGGGUCUAAACACUGUCCGGUCUACCUUAGUGAGUCUUAAAUUGUGAGUUGGGGUGCAGGCCAUUCUAAUGGGCCUUGGUAGAGUUACAUCAUGACUUUUUCAAUAUGAACUCGCCCAAACCUAAAUAUACAAAAUCCAAUAUUCAUCAAUAACCAAAGGGUAUGAUUGUCAAUGGGCUUGUAAAUUCUUUUCCCUUGCCCGUUGUUCAUUCUUUAUAUUAAAAAAUAAUCAAUAAUCUAUAAAUAUGAGGUGCAUUAUGUUUUUUUAAUCUACAUGCUAAAGUUAAAGUAAGACAAAUAAAAUUACCUUAUAAGAAAAUAUAAUUAUCUUGUUUAAUAAAUAAACUUUAUUAUUUUUCAUUUCAAAUAUAAUAAAUUUAAUCGAAUAAUUAAAUUUGGCUUAAUUUGUUAAAUUUAAGUAUUAUUUUACAAAAAAAAGGGAUUUCAAUUUCUGCCGUAAACCCAACUGAAAUUUUAUUUUAGAAAAUGAAAUUUUGCUUGCCCACUCUGGGAUAAAAAAUAAUUUGAAUUUCCUAUAAAAAGGUAACGUACAAAAUUAGAACCCAAUAUAUUUUAAAAUCACAAGUCAAACUCUGCUUUUAAAAAGUACUAUAGUCUCUGAUGUUUAUUGUAUUAGCAAAUUAGUCCCUGCUAUUAACUUCCGUUCUAUUUAAUUUUAGAUAAUUUUGUUUUUAAAAUUUUGUUUUCUUAACGAAAUAAUACUUGCAUCUAAAUUUAAUACUCAAUGAUUUUACUAAUAAUGAUUUCAUGUCAAAAUAAAUAAAAUUCCUUUUAAAUUUAAAUUUUAUCCUCACGAAAUUUAAUCCUCAUUCCUAAAUUAAAUUCUAAUUAGCUCUAACUCUUAAAUUAAAUAAAUAUUUUAAUUUUUAUAAUAAAAUACAAGAAAACCAUAAUAAUUUUAUGUUGGAUGAUACCUAAUGAAUCUUUUUAAAAUAAUAUAAUUUAUUUUAUUUUAAAAUUAUAUUUCAUGUUUUUUUUAAUAUAUAGGAAGAACGAUUUUUAAAAGGUGAUAAUUCGACGAGUAUUAGAAGUAUUAUACAAAUCGGCCUGGAUUAAUUUUGCAAUAGCUCUAAAUAGACUCGAAAAUUGUCUCAAAUCACCAAAAGUUGACGUGACAGCUAGAUUAGCCAGUGCAUCCACAACACAAUUUGCUUGUCUAUAAUACGUCUAAACAUCAUCUACAGUUGACGAUAUUGGUACAAUAUAUUAGUAUGACACAAAUUCUUACCUAUGUCGACUUUCAUUAGAUCAAAGACAGCUUUAGGGUCUAUUUCUACUAUUAAUCGUUUGAUCCUCAUGUUUCAUGCUAGCCGGAGACCAAAUAAUACAGCAGAAAACUCCACAUCCAUUGAGAAACAAAUACCCAAAUGAAUGUAAUAACCCUUCAACCAUACUCUACAUCAAUUGCGCAAGAUCCUCCUGCAUAUCUCCCUCUUGGGUUCCCUUUAACUGCCCCAUCUAUGUUUAGUUUAACCCAAUUAGGCAAGGAAGAUUGCCAAGCAAUGUUUACCAACAUUUGGGUACGGUUUGGAGCCCUAUUGCUCUGUGAACACCAAGCUCAGAAAUUCUGUGCUAAUUGUAAUUGAAAACAAUCGAUUUGUUGGCUUAACAAACAACGAAUGCCACAAAGCACAUCUUCAUUCCUCUAUUUUCAUAUCCACCACAAACCUAAAAAUAGGAUCUGUGCAGAAGAUGAAUCAAAAUAUAAACAAUCUCGAAAAAUAUGGGGAAUGUCCUCUACUACUGCUCCAUAGAAGGUACAACUCAUGUCUUGUAAAAAGCUCCGCUUCCAUCUUUCCAUAUUGAUCAUAAAUUUUCCAUGAAUUAAAAUACAAAUGAAACACCGAAUACGUUGAGUUGAACACUCCAAAUCAUUUUCCAAACUGAAUUGAGAGCGGAGGAGGAAAUAUCAUACAAUAAAUCAUGUCAUUUUGAAGGUAAAGUAACCAUUAUGCGUGAGCUUCCAUACUAUUUGAUCCAUAGCACAAAUAUCAGCUAUCAAAAACUUGCCUUCCACCAACUUACAUCCCUCACUAGAUAGAUAUGGUGUGAUUUCAUUCCAAUUUCAAUAAUCAUUCUUCCAAUAUUGAGAGACCAUAGCUUGUUUAUUGGAAGGAGCUUGAUUAAAAAAUCAUGAAGAGGCCCUUUUCCAAUCCAGGUAUCAUUCUAGAAGGAUGUACUCAUUCCAUUACCUAUAGCCAUACAUAAGCCUUUUUCCAAUAAUGGAAAGUUGUUAACACACCUCUUCAGAGCUAGUAGGCUUAAAGACAAACAGCUCCAAAUUUGAAUAUGAGUGAAAAUACUUUCCUUUUAGCACUUGCAGCCAUAAUGCACAAUCUUCUUUCAAAAUCAUCCAUCCCAUCUUGGCCAGAGAUGCCGAAUUCAUUGAUCGACAUGAUUUUAACCCCAAGCUACCCUAGUUCAUUGGUAGACAAAGCUGACUCUAGUUUACAAGAUAAACUCUUUGCCUACCAAGUAUAUCUCCCCAAAUAAAACCCCUAAUUGUUUUAUCAAAUUCAUCACACAUAGAUUUUGAAAUAUAAACUGAUUGCAUCAAAUGAUUAUGAAGCAUAGAAAGGAUAAAUUUGGCUAAUGUUACCCGACUAACAAAAUAAAGCAUUCUCAUUUUUCAACUUGCUAAAUGAUUGUCCAUUUUUACUAGCAGAUCAUUAAAAUAAUGCCUGUUAAUACGUCCAUGCACCAUUGGAAUUCCUAGAUAUUGCCAAAGGAUUCAUCUUCUAAUAUUCUAACAACAGAGCAUGUAGCUUGUCUUUUAACGUCAUCCACAUUGGCUGAAAAAAAGAUUUUUAAUUUUUGAAAAUUCACCCUUUGUUCUGAAGCAAGCUCAAAUACUUCCAAACAAUCCUUAAUUACCAUCAUUUGUUGAACAAAAGUCUCUCUAAACAGUAAGAGAUUAUCAGCAAAGAAUAAAAAAGAGAGAGAAGGACCAUGUCGGCUUAUUCUGAUCGGGCACCAUUCUUCCGAAUUAACAGCUUUAUCAAUCAAGUGGCCCAACCGCUUCAUAGCCAAAAUAAAUAAAUAAGGGGAUAAAGAAUCCCCCUGACGAACCCAACAAGUAAAAGAGAAUUGUUUUGACAUUUGGUUAUCCCAACUAACCCGUAUAUGACAUGACCUGGAGUACUUUAAUAACAGAGAUACAACUUGCCGAAAACUGUGCCUGAGCAAGAGUUUUUAUCAAAAAGUCCCAUCAUAGCCUAUCAUAAGCCUUUUUGAAGUCCAUUUUAAGCACCAUCGAUUGCAUUCUAGAUUUUUUCUUUUGCAUACUAUGAAAUACUUCUUGAAAAAUAACUACAUUAUCAUAUAACUGUCAUUCGGGUAUAAAACUAUUUUGUAUAGGCGCAACUAGUAAUGGUAGAACAAGCUUCAUCCUAUUAACCAAUACUUUGAUAAUUACUUUAAACACAAUAUUACAAAGACUGAUCGAACGAAAAUGAUUGAGUGAUUCUGGUGUUGAAACUUUGGAUAUUAACGUAAUAAGAAUCUCCCUUGCUGAAGACGGAAGAGCAGAUCCCCAUAGUACCGCAAGGACCAUAUUAGUCAGAGAAUCCCUCACCACACUCCACAACUUUUGAAAGAAGCCAGCAUGAAAUCCAUCUAAGCUAGGAGCUUUAAAGGGAUCCAUAGAAAAAAGAGCAUCCUUAAACUCAUAUGACAUAAAAUCCGACUCCAAGCUAAAACGCAAACUAUCAGAUAGGGUUGGAAACUGAUGGUCCAUAGUGGGCAAAUAAGUAGUAUACUUUUUAGCCGUAUACAACUCUUUAUAGAAUCUAAAGGCAAGCAAAUUCAACUCCUGUGGAUUUAUACACCACUUAAAACAAAUACCCCUUUUUUGCACCUUUAAUGACUGCACUAGCAUGAUAAUACGAUGUAUUCCUAUUAUCCUCUAUAAUCCAUUUCUCAUGAGCCUUCUGAAACCAAAUUAGUUCUUCCUAGUCCGAAAGAGAUUAAUACUCAACGUUUAACUUUCGCUCCAGUUUAACGAGCCCAGAAUAAGGUGAAUUCCAACGUGUCCUUUUGGCACCUCUUAUGCGGGCUAAGAUGUAACGACCCGCAAAUCGGACCGCUACCGGCGCUAGGAUCCAGAUCGGCUUAAGGCCGCCGGGACCCGUAGCAAGCCUGACAUAAAACCUGUAUACCUGUAUAAUCCCAUACAUGAUCAACAACAUCCAUAAGAAUUAAAACUUUUCUUUCCAUGAACAUCAACCAAACUCAACCUGUGCAUAAACAUAAACAUAACUUUGAUCCCNNNNNNNNNNNNNNCCUGGGUUUUCCUCCAAUGCUAUUUUCAUGCAAAAACUCAUUUUCUUUCAUACUUCAAACAUAAAACACAUUAAAACCUUUCAUAGAAGCAUGAUUUUACCCUACUAGAGGCUUCCGACACCCGAGAUUCCACCGGACGGUAGGAAUUCCGGUACCGGAGUCUAGCCGGGUAUUACAUAAGAGGCAACAUUUGCGUUUAUGGAUAAAUCCAAAAAUCUCUGUUUUCCACUUAUAAAGUUAUUCUGCAUACAUUCUGAAGCGGUAACCAAAGGAACAUUUGAAUGCCAGCAAUUCGAUACAAAAUCAUUAUAAUCAGGAUAUUUUUGUCGCACAACCUAGAAUCAGAAUGGUGUUGCUUGCCCACUAUUCACUGAAGUUUCUACUAAUAGCAAAAGCGGACAAUAGUUAGAGCAAAUCCGUAAGAGGUGGCACACUCCAACCGUUGGAUAUAGAAGUCUCCAAGAUAAAUUGCACAAAAUUCUAUCCAAUCGGACAGUUCUCACAGUAUUAUCAGAUUUCCCUCACCACUAAGUGAAAGUAGGCCUGAAAAAACCCAAAUCAAUUAAUCUCAUAUUCGAGAUCCAAUCUAGAAACUGCAAACACCAUCCAGAAGCGUGAGCACUACCACUGGUAGUUUCUGAAGGUUCCAGAAAGUCAUUAAAUUCACCUCCCAAAACCCAAAGAGUAGAAAAACUAGUAUUAUAAUCUUAAAUCAAAUACAAACUAAAUUUUAAAUAAAAAAUUAUAAAUAUUUUUAGGGAGAUUUAUAAUUUAGUCCCUAAGUAUUGCCAUUAUUAACAAGUUAGUCCCUGUAUUUUUAGAAAACUAUUAAAACGUCUUUAUCUUUUCUCUCCGUCAACAAAAUAGUCAUUCCGUCUAUUUUUGCCAUUAAAAAUAUAGUAAAAGACUAAAUUACCCCCCAUUAUUUUCCUCCUCCUCCUCCUCUUCCUCCUCCUCCUCCUUCCUUUUCUUCUUCAUCAAUUCUUCCUCCUUCUUCUGCUUCUGCUUCUCCUUCUGCUUCUGCUUCUUCUUCUUCUUCUUCUUCUCCUCCUUCUCCUCCUCCUUCUCCUCCUCCUUCUUCUUCUUCUUUUGCUUCUUUUUCUUAUUUUUCUUCUUUUUCUUCUUUCUCUUCUUCUUCUUCUCCUUCUUCUCCUUUUUCUUCUUUCUCUUCUUCUCCUUCUCCUUCUUCUUCUUCUUCUUCUUCUUUUUCUUCUUUUUUUUCUUCUUUUUCUUCUUCUUCUUCUCCUUCUUCUUCUUCUUCUUCUUCUUCUUUUUCUUCUUUUUUUUUCUUCUUUUUCUUCUUUCUCUUCUUCUUCUUCUCCUUCUUCUUCUUCUUCUUCUUCUCCUUCUUCUUCUUCUUCUCCUUCUCCUUCUCCUUCUUCUUCUUCUUCUUCUUCUUUUUCUUCUUUUUCGGAGGAGGAGGAGGAGGAGGAGGAGAAAAGAAAAGAUAGGGACUAUUUCGUUGACAAAAAAAAACGAUAAGGACAUUUUAAUAGAUGUGAGAAAAGAUAGGGACUAUUUCAUUGACAAACAGAAACGAUAAGGAUAUUUUAAUAAAUUUCUAAAAAUAUAAAGAUGGACAAUUUCGUUGACGGAAAGAAACGAUGAGGAAUGACUAUUUCGUUGAUGGAAAGAAACGAUAAGGACGUUUUAAUAGAUAUAAGGACAUUUUAAUAGAUGUGAGAAAAGAUAGGGACUAUUUCGUUGACAAACAGAAACGAUAAGGACGUUUUAAUAAAUUUCUAAAAAUAUAAGGAGGGACGAUUUCGUUGACAGAAAGAAAUGAUGAGAAAGUACUAUUUCGUUGAUGGAAAGAAAUGAUAAGGACGUUUUAAUAGAUAUGAGAAAAGAUAAUGACUAUUUUAUUGACGAAAAGAAAUGAUAAGGACGUUUUAAUAGAUGUGAAAAAAAAUAAAAAUGUUUUAAUAGAUUUUUGAAAAUGUAAGGACUAACUUGUUAAUAAUAACAAUAUCCAAGGACUAAAUAAAGGAUUUUACUUGAGGGUAAAAUUGGAUUUUAAAAAUUUUCUCUCUCAUCCUUUAUCUAAUUUUAACGGAAAAGAGGACGGAAGGACUAUUUCGUUGACGGAAAGAAAACAUAAGGAUGUUUUAAUAGGUUUCUAAAAAUAUAGGGACUGACUUAUUAAUAAUAACAAUACACAGGGACUAAAUUAUAAAUCUCCCAUACUUUUAUGCCUAAAAUAUAAUAGAAAUAAAAUUAAAAAAGUUUAAUAAAAUUAGUCUAUUGUGGAGUGCAAUUAAUUAAAUAAGCAUAAUUCAGGUAGAUUAGUGAAGAAAAUAGCUUAAGAUAGUGUGAAAAAUGGUAAAGUUUAUGCUUUUGGCAAUUAUUCCUUAAACUAAUCAACAAUUAGCAUUACUUUUUCUUGCUUUUGUUGUUGUACAUGUCUUUAUGCCAGUUCAUUCUCUUUCUAUACAUCAUAUUUUUCUUUCUUGUAUUAUCAUUUAUUCUUAAACUAUUUGGUAUUUAAAAAAUAAACCAAUCUACGCAGCAAUCUAAUUAAUAAAAUCCUAGAAAUGCAUGAAACUAAGACAAAAGCAAAUAAAUUAUUAAAUUUUCAAUUGUAUAAUUUUGGUAAAUAUAUAAAAAAAAUUAUAUAUAUAGUAAAUUAAUAAAAUAUAUGUAAAAUUAAAUUAAUAAAAAUAUGAGAGUCAAGAUAUACGUAAAAGAAUAUGACCUAUAGUGAUCUAUAGUUAAGAUGGGGAAUAGCAUUUCAGGGCGGAUUUCAAUUUAUUAAUGCAAUAAAUUUAUUAAAAAUGUAUUGUAUAUCGAAAAUAAUUCUUUUAAAACAUCAUUUUAAUAAUAUAUAUAUUUUUAUUAAAAAUUACAAUAUUUAUAUAUUUAAAUACAUACAAUAAAUUAAAAUUUUUAAUAAUAAAUAAUUAUUGACUGUUGAUUUAAGCCGCACAUAAAAUCAAUACAUAAUAGAAUCCUCAAAAAAUUUUGAUUAAAUUUGGGGCAGAGUAGAGAAUAAUGAUAACUUACUAUCUAGUAAGAGAGUAUGAUUCUGAAAUACUAUCACAUGGGUAUAAACGAAUUGGAAUCGGUCAUGUUUAGAUUUUGCAAAUGCCAUAGCAUAGCAGCAUUUAAUUACUAUCUAUAUUUUUAUGCAUGUUUAGAUACAUGCAUAAAAAUAUAUGGCCACUAAAAACCAAAAGGGGAGUUCAACUGCACUACUCAACACAUAUGAUAUAAUAAUUUUUUUAUUUGAAAAUAAAAUACGGGUUUCAGAGGGGACAACAACAGAAGGACACGAAGGAGAAGUGAACAGAGGAAAUAGAGUUCCGUGAAUAGAUGUGCUCUCACAAACUACAUUGUUCCAUGGGAGCAACACCAAGGUAGCCAGAGCAACAGUGAACAACAGUGCAUUAACGAGAAGAAGAGAAAAACAUGAAACGGGCUGAAAUACAAGGCCACAAUCCUUUCGAAAAACGGCGUCGUUUUUGCGAAGGGUGGGAAAAGAAUAGAAAGUUAACGAGACAGGUGGAGAAAAGACAUUUAAACUGGGCAGAAAGGAUGGCAUUCAUGUCGCAUGAGAGGGUAGUUUAGGAACUUCAUAGACAUGUGCAUCAGGUAAUAAAUACCCUCGAAAAGAAGACUUUAAAAAAGGAGAUUUAUAUGCACUCAGAGGCUUAAGUUGGUGGUAAGUACAUCUGAGUAAAUCUCUCAUUUCAAAAGAGAUAUUUACAUGCACUCAUAGACUUAAUCUGGUGGUAAGUGUAUCUUAAUAAAUCUGAGAGGUUUUAGAUUCUACUUUCUCAAUUUCCAAUUGACGAUGAUCACAUUUCAUAUAUAUAUCAAAUUUCAUCUCUUAAAUUUAUGACGACGAUCACAUUUUAUAUUCUUAAUACAUAAUAUCAUAACAACCAUUGAGGGGUUUUUAGCCAGACAAUUGAUAUAAUAUAAGGGGCCUCCUCCAUUACUCAAUUAUGGAUUUUUUCUUUUUCACAGUUAGAUGGAGUGUAAAUAACUUUUUUGUUUGUGGUUGCAGCAGCUAUAGGUAUCGGUGGAGGAAGAUGGAUUGCUAUCUUGGGGUUCUUUGCAUGUGUUGUUUUUAUAUUUUUCUAUAGGUUUGGAGACUUACACACUCUGAGCUCUGAUGGAUUGUCAGAAAAGGUGACAAAGUAAUGACUUUUGGAGUUUCGAUCCGGUUUGUCUCCUUUGUUGUUUUUUUUCAAAUUUGGAUCGCCUUUUUUAAUUAAAAGACUAACAAUUAUUUUAAAUUGGAGAUUUAUAUUCUCAUUCUCCAAGAACGGCACUGCGUUUAGAUUGUUAGUUCUCGAGCCUUGAUUAAUAUAGGCUUUUUUACCUAAAUACUUUUUGUUUUAUCUCUGUUUGGAUCAUGAACGCUUUGUAUUGAAGAAGCUGUGUUUGUGGGGUGCUCUAUUGUAAGGCUUAGGCCUUUUCUCCCUAAUAAACAUUAUCUUUGAAUUCAUUUUAACAAAACAUUUUUUUAUCAUAUCUUUGUCAUGGCACACGAUGUCAACAUUUUUAUCUCAAAAUUAUAAUACAACACUGAUAAAUGAGGAGUCACAAUCUUAAAGAAUUAUUCUUUUGUGAACUAUAAAAACAACAUGAGUGGAUAUUCGACUUUUUGUACGAAUGACUUUUCUUUUUUUUUAAGUUUUUAAGAAUAAUUUCACUAAUUAUAUGUUUACUUUAUUCUAUAAAAAUAUACUUAUUUAUAUUUUUUAUUUAUUUUAAAUUAUAAUUUUUUUUUAAAGAUAUUAAAUUUAUCAAUAUUUUAAUAUAUUUUUAUUUAAUAUAUAUUAAAGAUAAAAUUAUUAAUUUAAAAAAUAAAUUAAUAAUUGAGCAAUACGAACGGAGAGUGGAGAAUUGCAUGGCUACAAAAUAACAAGAACACAUUCAAUUUUCUCAUAAAUUAUUAUUGUUAGCCUCAAAAGAAUAUCUCUCGCAGAUUUUAUUCUCCAUGAAAAAUUGAAUGGAAGUUAAAAAUGUUAUUCCUACGUCGUUUAAGCCGAUGCAUUUUAUAUACCUAAAUUCUCAACUGAUCCCUUCCCUCUGAUCUCAUUCAGGCAACUGCUCACAGUGACUCACGCCGUUCGCCCCUCAGCCAUCCCGAUUCUCUCACGGACUCAUUGUCUUUGUCUUUGUGCAUAAUCCUCGUCCUUUCCUCUCUCGUUCUCGACUCUGCACAAAAUCCCCCGCCUCUCAAUCUCGCCGCUGCACCGGAAAGCGUCAUCUUACGACGCUGCGUAAAAGAAAGCCCCUCGCAGGUCAGUUCGCAGAUCUUUCGCUUUCUUUUUUCUUAUUUUAUAUCCAAUUUAAUUAAUUUAUUAUGUAUAUUUUGGUUUUGUUCUAAUUUACUGUGAAAAAAUCUGUGUUAUUUCUUAGUUCUACAUUUCCCGCACGUGAGAUAUAUUUGGUUUGCUUCACCAUUUAGAUGAUAAUUUUACUAUUCAAAUCCGCGUUUUCUAGUUGUGUAUAUACAAAAUUGAAACUCUGUGUUCUAAACUGUGUAAAAAUGGAAUUGUAAUUGAUAUUGUAACAGAGGAUUUUCUCUGACAGACAAUUACUACUUCAAAGAAAUUAUGUAAAUCAUAAAAUAUUCUUGUGUGUAUUCUAGUUUAACUUGACGUGAAGCUACAAAUUCUCUUAAACUGACUCAAAAUCGUGCUGCUGAUUAAUUUUGGUUAAUUCUCAGCAGCAUUUCUGUCUUUAAUGGAAGUUUUAAGUAGCAUUUUCCCGUAACAUUAAAUUUUCAUAAUUAUUUUCAGGAUUUUUUUAAAAAAGGGCUCAUGCAGGCUCAGAUAUUAUAUGCUUAGCAGUAAAAGAGCUUGGAUGAAUACAGGCAGUUAAAGCUAUAUCCUAGUUGUGUUUAGGCUGGGUUCAGGUAUUUUAUAUAUAUAUGUAAAGUUGGGUUUGGGUUUGGAUAUCCUUAAUUUCAUGAGUUCCCUGUCCGGUAUCAUUCCUAAUCCUUGCCAAUAGAAAACUGAAGAACUCCUGCCUGUUACAGAAACACAUGAAUUUCCACCAAUUGCUGAGGUGUGGUGCAUUCCCAAGUUCCCAACAGUUAUUCACAUAUUACAACAUAAUUCCAACAACAAACUUACCAUGCCUUCUCAAUUUUGACAAGUGAAGCUGGGAUGAGAAGCUGGGUCCAGUUGUAUGUUAUCUAUUUAAUCAGUAACCAAUGUUUAUCUGGUGGGUGGUGGCAUAGGCAGAAAUAAAGGCAAUUAAAGAAAAGGCUUCUGCUGUAACAACUCAAUGACAAGGCAUCAGCUACUUGAUUCUCCUUCCCCUUCUUUAUGGUUUUUCAUGGUCAUACAGCUGCAAUUUAAUAAUUUUUACUUUUGCUUUCACGUGUGUGUUUUUUAGUCAGUUUGCUUAUCUGAAGUAUUAGUUCACGGCUUAUUUUUUUUAAAAAAAUGUAAUUGUAGUGUAUAUUUGCAGCAAUAUUAAUUUAUUUACUGGUCAUGGUUUACAGGAAACUUCUUUUUUAAAAUCUGAUUUAUCAUAAAUCAAAAUGAAAAAUAUAGGGCUCAAAUUCAUAUAUAUAUAUAUAUAUAUAUAUUCUGUACGUUUGUGUUUUUAUUCAUGAUGGACUGGAUGCUGGUCUGUUUGGUUUUGCUGGCAGGGUUCCAGAAAAUCACUUUCUUAAAUGUGUUAGUUUGAGGGUAUUAAAAAGUGAUUUAAAAUAAAAUUUCAUAGUUUUUAGUUAUAAAAGCUCUAAAACGAUAAAACAAAAUUUUUUUUCUAGUUCCGUCUAAAAUGAUGAUUUUAUUCNNNNNNNAAAGUGCUUUUUAUUUUUGCUCUGAACCUCAAUGCUCUGUGUGGUCUAUGUGGAAGAAAAAUCGAAGCUGCUGUCUUCCUUAGUUGCCGUUUUAUUUACUGUUUAUAUUUAUUUGAGACUUUUGAGUCCAAUCAAUACUUGGGCCAUUUCUCAAGGACUGGGAUUUAGACCAUGAGCCAAAAUACAUAAUUAUGCAAGCCGUAAUUACGCUCAUGUUUGGCAUAAUGCCUUUACCUUUUUGCAAUUAAAUAUCAAUUGGAUUUUGGGUUUAGAUCAUGAUAAGAUUGCAUUCUCCUACACACUUAUCGUUGUGAAUUCAUCCAAGUACUGAUUUCCAUAUUAUGAAAGUCAAAUGAUUAACCCAAACAAGGCACAUAUUUCACAGCAGUGAUAAGUAUCCAACAGGUUAACUGUAGAUAGUGUAAGCCAUGAUGAUAAAAUUGAAUUAAGAAAAGAUCUCUUUUCCCAACGAGUAAAGCUUCAGUGAUUGCAUCAGUUUCUGCCCUUUUUCUCCACUUCAAUCUGCAAUUUGUUCCUUUUAAAUUCAGCUCUGUGGUGUUCUCAGAGAGUAAAGCAAAAAGAGAAAACAUCUUUUAUUGUGAGAUCUCAAUUUGAAUCUGUCAUUGCGAUUCUUUGAGAUAAGGAUAGUGUGUGAGCAUAUGGCUUAGGGUUUGAAAGCCAUUGAUAGGUUGGAUUUUUGGAUCAUAGAGUUUUGUCUUAAUUAGGCAAAGUUUUACAUUCUUUUCUCUUUUUACUCUUUUUUGUUAUUUGUCUGUUUAUUUGGUGAAGUAAUCAAAUUGUGCAAAUCAACUGCAGAGAGCUCACAGAAUCUACCAAAUGGAGAUGAAGUUAGAGCAGAAGGAUGCAGCUGAUUGGGUUUAUAGGGGUGAAGGUGCUGCUAAUCUAGUCCUCUCUUACACCGGAUCAUCUCCCCUUUUUGUAUGUUCUUCGACUUUAUGCUUUUCCUUUGCCCCACACUUAAGUUUCACAAUUUUUUAUUGGUGAAAAUUCCUUGUUAGCUAAUGUGGUAUAUGAAAAGUUUAGGGUAGAGUAGAGGAAGUGAAUUGCCUUCUAUUUCCCUUUUUAGAAUAAAUUGUAUAUUGUUUGAUUUGUAAUAUGUAAUGAUGAGACAGAUUGGGAAGGUAAUGAGAAUACAAAAGACAGCAAGGAACGGCUCUUCACAUUGUCUGGAGGAUCACACAGUAUUAACAGAGCAUGAAAGAUUGCUAUGGAAAGAGUCAGAAGAGCUAGUGUCAUCUUCUACAAAAGAACUGGCGGAGUUGCAUUAUGUGAAACAUGUCAUGACCCCUUUGUUGGGUCCCAAGCACGUCGAUGCUGGUGUAUGCUUUUUCUUCUUUUCCUUUUCCUUCAUCAUUAUUAUUUUUUUCAUAAAGCUUAUGUUGUUUUUUGGUGUAUGUGCAGUCAUUAUUUUUCGUUCUUGUUUCUUCAUAAUUUGUCGAGGUUCAUUUAAUGUAGAUAUACAGAGAUUUCAUAUAUGUAUGACAUUUUGGAUAAUGUUUUUGGUUGCUAACGAACGUGAAACAGUUGAAGCUAUAUUUAACAUUUUUCCUGCUCAAUUUGAGGACAAUUAAUGGUCUGAUUAAGAUUUCUGAUGUGGAUCUGCUUGGAAUUUGGCAGAUGCAUGUCGUAACAUCUAGCGAAUUUCUUGAAUCGAUUGAAAAGAAAGUGGUUUGUCAGCGUCCUGCUUGGCGAGUUGAUGCUGCCAAGGUUGAUACAAAAUGUGAUUUUGUGCUCCUGAUGACUGAUCAUUCUCUAUUUCCCAAUGGUAACUACCAAGAUCUUUUUUUCUUUAAUAGAAAUUGUCAAAACUGGUCCUGACAUGUUUCUACCUUGCAAUUCUGAUGGUACAGUUACUAUAUCUUCCAUUUUUGUCACAAUUAGCUAGUCAGGAAAAAAGCAUCUUCAAUCUGUUGUAUUAAGUUAGUCCAUAAUACACAAAUACCUCAAUUUUGAUCUGCCUGUUCUGUUUAUUCUCUUUUGAAGCUUUGAUGCUUGAAUCUUGAUUAGUUGUUAUCAUUAAGAGAAACCACGUCCUCUUUCAUGUUUUGAGGCAACAUUAGGACACAGUAUGUGCAUGGUCCUCACUAUAUUGCUUACAACUGAAUGUAACUUGCCUGGAAUGACACUUGAAAAUCUUCAUCAGCCCCUAUCUCAUUUAAUGAACAUUUUGAGCAAUUAAAUUUGUUAAAUCAGGUCUAAAGUUCCCAUAACUUAAUUUUUUAUAAGUGUAUUAUUUUAUUUUUUUAGCAUAAUAUUGAGAAGUGGUAAUUUAUUCUGUUUUCUCAUCCCAGGUACUGCUAAAGUUGGCCCCUGCAUAUCUGUUGAGAUAAAGGUACCGGCAUGCAAGUUUAUGCUUGUUACAGUUCUUCUCAUUUUGGUGUUAGUUUUUGUUCGUUUGUGAGUGUUGUCUUUUCCUUAUAGGCUUUGUAAUUUACCUAUUUGUUUGCAUAGAGUAGCCCAAAUGUGGAUUUCUACCUUUAUCAAGAUUCAUAGCUGAAAAAAAUGCCAUCAAAAGAAGCACAACUCGUUUUAGAAUGCACCAAGUCCUGAAAUUGCGCCAACAUGAGGUGACUUCUUCUAUCCUAUACUAUAGUAAUGCUAUGAAUUUAGUUACUAUGUCAGCAAUCAUUUCAUACAUGUCCGCUCUGAUAGGACUCAUGUUUUAUUUAUUAGUGUUGUUAAUACCAGUUUCAAAAAGGCACCUCAUUGAUGAGGCCUUCUCUCUGUUAUUUCAUUUUCACUCUAGCAUUUUUUUUUCAGAUAUCGGAGUUAAGCCAAUAUGACCCGUUGGAUAUUUUCUCUGGUUCCAAGGAAAGAAUAUAUAAAGCUCUCAAUGAUCUCUAUAGUACCCCUCAGAACAAUUUCCGCGUAUUCUUAAAUGGCUCUAUUAUAUUUGGGGGCUUGGGUGGUGGCACAAAUAAAACUAGUAUUGUGAUUGGAAAAGCUUUUGAAAGCGCAUUGAAGGAAGUCAUCCAGGCAGAUGAUGGUUUGCGUACAAGGAGUUUCAUAGAGCUUGUUGCUGAGACUGUUUAUAAUUCUCAAGUAUUGGAUCAGCUUCUUGAAGUUCAGAAGCUAGAUAAUUUUGAUAUUGAAGGGGCAAUUCAUGCUUAUUAUAACAUUAUUUCUCAGCCUUGCAUGGUAUGUAGAGAAUUUGAUGAAGCAAGAGUUCCACAUGGAUAUGCCUCCUUGCAUUCCAUUCCUUUGAGUGAAAGCUUGAAGAUCGUAAAGGAUUAUUUAAUAGCUGCAACUGCUAAGGACUGUAGUUUGAUGAUCAGUUUUAAACCAAGGGACGAUGGGGAUUUUGGGUCUCCAUAUGGUCAUAUACACAUAAAAUCAACCAACCAAAACUUUGAUUACAAGGUAGGCCUUUAAGCUAUUUCAUUUUUAUGUUAAAUCAUAUACUAGAUAUGAAGUUGCUAAGAUACCUUUGUUCUAGCAACACUAUACCAUGUUAGAAAGAGAGAGAGAUUCCCAUUUGCCAUUCUUGGUGUCUAAAGGGUCUUUGGUGUUAGGACUGUUGUGAGAUUCACACACUAAUUUUGUUCUGAUCCAAUGAUCUUCAGAACUUUUAUUGUGUCUGGUCAAAUUCAUGGAGGUAGUACUAUUUUAUACUAAUCUCACCCCAAUUGAUUGCUUUGUCUCAAAAACAGUAAGCACCAUAUCUUGGCCUAUGGUUUGAUAUUCCAUUUUUAUUGCAAAUUCCGUAGGUGAAUUUCAUCGACUUGGAUUUGAAGCCCUUAAAAAAGAUGGAAACCUAUUAUGAAAAGGACAAGAAGAUACUAAACGCCUAUGCUCAGAUGGGGGAAACAAAACAUAUGAAAGGCAACACUAGUAUGGAGGUCUAUGAAACUAUAAAGUGACAUUCAACAAGACUCUGGAGCAUUCUUACUUUACUGAAGACUAUCGGUAUGUGAAUGUCAGUUGGUGUGACCUUUUCACUUAUAUAUCUAUGUUAUUUGUAAAAUAUUAGGAUUAGAGGUGCUUAUCUCUUUGUUCACAGAUACUCUUUAGGUCUUAAGGAAGAUUGGACUCUAUGUGUGCUUUGCAGCUACUAUAGAUUUUCAAAUACUGCAGUCAAUGCAAUGAGCCUCAAUCCAAUGUAGUUGGAAUUGGUUACAUGGAUCUUUUUUGUACUCUUCACUCAAUUUAGAGCUGCAGCUACUGUAAAUUUACCAAUUCUUUUCAAAUACUGCAGUCAAUGCAAUGAGCCUCAAUCCAAUGUAGUUGGGAUUGGCUACAUGGAUCUUUUUUUGGCUCUUUACUCCAUUUAGAGCUGCAUUUAUAGAGAGGUCUGAAAAUGCUAAAUCCAACACUUUGUAACAUGUCAUCUCAGGUCUACCACUCAUUUCUCCCCUUCAUAUAACUUAAAUGUGUUUAAUCUCCAUUGCAUCCAUGGGCCUGUAUCUAAGCAAUGCUCUUUAGUAUUACUGCUGAAGUCUAAAUUGUAUUUUAUUGACCUUAAACUUUUAAGAGUGCUAUGAAAAGUUUUGUAUAUGAUUUUAUUGAAUAUCUACAAGCAUCUCCACUUUCUCACGGAUGUUUGAUGUGUAAAUUAUUCAGCUUUCUAUUUUGUUUUGUCAUUUGAUGGGAAUUUAAUGAGGGUGAAGGAUAGAAAGUGACAAGACACACUUUUGAGCUCUACUGGGAAAAUGAUAUGUCAACUACUUUUGGUGCCAUUCCAUCCCAAGCUCACAUGAUCUACAAAUUCAGUUAACUGGGUUGAACAUGUUGGACGUGUUGAAACUCUAAUGGCAAGAUUUACCUCUCAAUGUUGAUAAAUGAGAUUAGGCCAGACACUAAAUAACCUCUGUUAUCCAUUUGGCAUCAUUAAGUUUUUGUGCCACAUGAGCUUCAGCUAUGAUUACCUGAGCUGUAACUUAUACAUAAGUACUGGUAUUUGGAUGAGCAAAUUCUUGCUCGGUUAAGUGCUCAACUUCUGUUUUUGCCUCUGAUGGAGAUUCCAAGUCAACAUACAAAAUUAUGGUUAUUUCUUGAAACAUCUAGUUAUUUAAAAUUUGUAUCACAUUUAUGGAGUUGGUAGAUCUUGUAGGCAAAUUUCAUUGACUGCAGAAUGGUGCCAUUUUGGGCUUUUUUAAAAUCAUUUUGAAGUAUUUCUUUACAAGCAACUAUGUGUCUAUACCAUGUCCAUGCUUCGAUUUGUGUUUUUAUUUUUCUAUGAUCUCUUUUCUUUUUUGGAAAACAUGUGCAUUUAAGGAAGUUUUAUCAUUGCAGUGAUUUACAUGUGAUAUAUUUAGACACCUAAGGUUCUAAUUGGAUUACUAAAUUUCAUAGUUUACAGUGCGACUGUAUGAAGAUAAGCAAGACUGAAUACUGAUGCUCCGGCAUGGUUUCAGAUCAGGAUCUCAGCUAAGAUUGAAGGUUUGUGAAGUUAUGUUUUGAUUGGCCAGAUAGAAUACACAGCGGUCACAAUACAUUGACAGCAGUGGCAGCUGUACCAUGUGCUGGAUAAUGAGGUGCUACUCUGUGAAGUCAGUGAAUCUGUGUAAGAGCAGGACAUUUUAGGACCUCUUCUGAAGUUUUUACAGCCAAAAAAGACAAAAGGUGGCAGAAGUAGGGUACGAUGUACUCAUUCAGCUAACCGCAAUGCCCACUGAAGCUCUUUUGAUAAAUUAAGGGACUGCUUGAUGCCCUUUAGGCCACAACAACUUUUAAUUCAAGGUUAUUAUUUCUAUUUCUUAAAAAUAUCCUAGACUAAUGCAUGAUUAUAUUUACACUGUUGAUGCAGAUCUCAAUUCUGUAGUUAGACAUAUUUAGCUGAAAGUUUCCUUGAUAAUACAAUGGUUAGACAUAUUCACCUGAAGGAGCCAUGACCUGUGACUGCUGAAUCUGGUCUAUAUGUGGGCAUGGGAAAAGAUCUAGGUCUCACAUAAUUUCUAUUCUUAAUUUCUCAUGUGGUUUGUACGACUAGCAUCCCUCUUUCCCAAGGAUGUGCUAUGCUGGGAUGUGAAAUCUGGAAAUUAACUUGUUGCUUAUAUGAGAAGAUCAUAGGCUAUGGUAAUGUUAUAACUUGAAAGUAUUAGCAAGUAAAUUUUGCAUUCAAUGCAUGUCGGAGGUAACAGUUGAUCCAAUCAAGAACCUUCUGACAGUCAUUUACUUAUUAUCACCUACUUACAUUUACUCCUCUCUCUUUUUGGGUCCAAAAUCAAAGAAAGAAAAUGUGGUGGUAUAUAAUUUUUAUUGCAUGAUGAGACAUGCUAAGUGAAAAAAUAAAGUUAUAUAUAGCAUUCUGAAUCCCUUCCAUUCCUUCUGUACCAUCUUGUUCCACUAGACUAUAAUUUUUUUUUCCUGUAGCUGUCAGAAAAAUGUCCAAGGUUAUCUAUGCUCGGAGUUGCAUAUUUUAUAAUUUUUUGCUUGUUUUAUAUGUUAUUCUUCUAUUUAUACGCAAAGAAUCUCUUGGGGCAUGUUCUUUUUAAAACUGACAGUCUGCAGCACUUUUUCAGGAUAUUUGAUAUGGCAUAAAUAUAUAGCUGUUCUUACACCGACACUGGGAGAAAGUACAGAGGAAUCUGACAUUAUCUUUCUGGUGCAGAAAACUAUAGUGUCAGUGGAGCUGCGCUGUUCAAAAUGCAGGCAGAAGGUGAUGAAGUUAAUUGCAACAAUUGAAGGGAUAACUUCUAUCGUCCUUGACCCUUCGAAGAAGACAGUGACCGUGAUUGGUGAAGCUGAUCCAGUGAAGAUCAUUAAGAAAGUCAGGAAAUUUCGAAAGUGUGCAACAAUUUUGAGCGUAGGGCCUCCCAAGGAAGAGAAGAAGGAAGAUAAAGAUUCACUUAUGAAACAAAUGAUCGUUCCUUGUGCUCCAAAGCCAUGUCAGAGAUGCGAUGUUUGGUAUGUGGUUGAUGACUUUUAUAGUUAUUGUUCUAUCAUGUAAAUUGGAAAAAUCUCCUAUCUCAUGCAGACUUGUGCUGAUCAAAACGUUAUGUUUCGUGUUCUGAACAUCUUUUAAUUCUAUUGCAUGCUACUGAAAUUUACUUUUUAAUCAACAAAUGAUUACUUCCCUCAAUGAUCAUAUAUACAUCUCGCUUCUUGUCUUCAAUGUUUAGGCUACUUAAGAUUUGAGGAUUUUCAGAAGCAGGCAGUAAUAAGAAGUUGAACUAUAUGAACUAUAUGGUAGCAAGUAAAAGUAUGUCUAGAAUCGACUGCACUGGAUUAUUGAUCAUAUUUUGCUAGUUGUGGAGAUAGAAACUUGGGUUAGGUGAGUAGCAGGUUGUUGCUUUUUUAUUGUGAGUAGGCAUUCUGAAUUGUAGGGUAAUAAAUGGUGCUUCAAGGAAACUUGAGCCAUCGGCUACCCAUGCCACAAUAACUUCUGUACCUACCCAUGCCUUUUGGUAGGACCACUGUGUACUCUGCAUAAGGAGAGGAAGAAAUACUCCCAAUGGGGCAUGGUCUAUGGAUUUGUUUAGUACUUCUUGGAUAGGGUAAAUUACUAUCAAACUAUUGAGUUUUUAUUCGCAAGUUAUUAUGAGAUUAUAUUUUAAAAUUUAACUCUUUAUUCCUUAAUUAUAUAAAUAUAUUUAUAUACUAAAUUUAUAUAAUAUAUUUAAAUAUUUAUAUUAUUUAAUCUUUUUAGUUGGUAGUUUUUUUAUAGAAUGAUUAAAUUCUAAAAACUCGAUAAUAAUGGAUUCUCCAUUUUAUAAGUGGGGUAUCAUUCUUAUUUUAAAAUAUGUUCAAAAUUAAAUAAUAUAAACUUUUUUGGUAAAAAGAUUGGAGGGUUUAAUCUUAUAAAAUAAAUAUAAUUUUAAAUAAAUAAUAUAAAUUAAAAGUGGCAACACAAAAAAUUGUUAUGGAAUUUCCGACAAAAGUGAUAGUGUUGGAGGUUGAUGAAUACGUGUGACAUGGAUGUCUCUAUUUUAUAGUUGUUGAUGAAGCAAUUUUCAUACACAAAUAAGAUAAUAGAUUUCAUGAGGUGUUGAUUUGAUUGAUGAAUGUAUCAACAUGAAAGCUCAAUUCCUCAUAAUUAUUUUUUCUUAAAAAAAAUUUUCCAAGAAAAAGACGGGGGACUAUAGACAGCAAUACAUCCUAAACCUACAUUUCUUUUCCUUUCGCCUCAGCUUCAGCCCAUGCUUCCCACGAGAUGCCGUUUGAAUUAAAUUUUGUGUAUCAUUUUUUUUUGUAGCUACCACCAAGUAAAAUAUACAUUUUUAGAAUAUAUUAAUUAGAGAAUAUUAAAAUUUUAUUUAAAUUAAUUUUUAACGUUUGAAAGUGUUUUUUCUUCUCAAAAGGAACUUUCUUAACAUACUUAGUUCAUUACUGUUUUUUUCUUGAGAAAUCAAUUUCAAUCUCUCACUUAAUCGCACCCAAAUUAAAAUUAACAAAGAUUUAACAAAUCUAAAGAAAAAUCAACGAAAACAGGCCUUUGAAAAAUGUUAUUUCAAAAGAAGAAAAGGAAAAACAUAAUAAUUUAUCAAAUUUUAGGAAAUUAAUAGUAAUUUAAUUAAUUUUACUUCAUAAUUUAAGCCACUCCCCCCUUAUAAUUACGCGUGUUUCACACUAAAAUUAAAUAAUUAGAGAAAUAAAUUGAUCAUAAUUUAUUUUAUGAAUUAAACUUAAUUGCUUCUCAGUUCUAAAUCCAAGGGGCCAUCAUAAAGGCCCAAAUGAGCCCAAUGGCCCAUUCAAAAUCAGCAGAAACAAUGAGAGAAUUCUAGUUCUUUUCGAUCAUAGACAAUAUCUACCUUCUUUCUUUGUCUUCAAGCCAAAACCCCACAAAAACCUCUAUGUCUACACUACAAGCUUGAAAAAUUAGCGGAAAAAAAAAAAGAACAAGAACAUGUCACCUCUCCCCAAAACUGAAACUGUUCUUUCAACGGCAGCCUCUGCCAUUGUCUUCUGUUCCAUAGCCAGAAAUCUCAUUCCCCAAGCUGUUGAAGAAUACCUUUUUUCGACCCUUCGAAAUAUAUCAGCCCGUUUGAAGUCUCAGCUCACUGUCGUCAUCGAAGAAUUCGAUGGCCUCACUGCUAACCAAAUGUUUCAGGCUGCUAAUCUAUACUUAGGCUCCAACCUGUCUUCUAAAACAAGAAGAAUCAAGGUGACUAAGCCAGAGAAGGAGAAGGAACUGGCAAUUACUAUUGAUAGGAAUCAAGAAUUGGUUGAUGUGUUUAAAGGAGUGAAAUUGAAGUGGAUUUUAAUGUCUUCAGACAUUGAAAUGCCUGCUGCUGCUUCUAACAAGAAACGCCAUGACAGUGCAUUGUCACGGUCUGAGCUGCGAUGCUUCGAGCUGAGUUUCCAUGAGAAGUACAGAAACAUGGUGUUGAGUUCUUAUUUACCGUACAUUCUUCAAAAGGCUAAAGAAAUAAGAGAAGAGAAAAAGACUCUGAAGCUGCAUAUGAUCGACUACAAUGGAACUGAUUAUUGGGGAUCCAUCAACUUCCAUCAUCCUGCAAACUUUGACACAAUAGCAAUGGAUUCAGAGAUGAAAAAGAGGCUGAUUGAGGAUCUUGAUCGAUUCGUGGCAAGGAAAGAGUUCUAUAGCAGAGUAGGCAAGGCUUGGAAACGUGGGUAUUUAUUAUAUGGACCACCUGGAACAGGAAAAACGAGUUUGGUUGCUGCCAUGGCUAAUUAUCUCAAGUUUGAUGUUUAUGAUUUGGAUUUGAAGGAGGUUCAAUGCAAUUCGGAUUUAAGGAGGCUACUCAUUGGUACAGGCAAUCAGUCGAUAUUAGUAGUUGAAGACAUCGAUCGUUCUUUCGAGUCUGUGGAAGAUAAUAAGGUAAAUUCUCAUAUCCUGCUUCAGCUAAAUGCAUUCUAUACACAUGGUUAGCUAGGAUGUCAGAAUUACAAGAAAUUGUGUAGUUUCAUUAUAACCAUUGACCAUAGUUAGUCUCGCAUGAAAUCGUAGUAUAAUCAAAGAUCAGAAUAGAUUCGUAGUACAUACAACAAUUGUACUAAAUAAAUUUUUAACAGUUACAUUGGAGAAUAAACAGUUGAACAUACCUGAACUGCUAUGGCAAGAUGCUUUCUGUAUAGUUAAACUCGCAUUUGCAUCACAGGUUACUCUCUCUGGUCUUCUCAAUUUCAUUGAUGGCUUGUGGUCGAGCUGCGGAGAUGAAAGGAUUAUAGUGUUCACAACCAAUCACAAGGAUCAGCUCGAUCCAGUAUUGCUAAGACCAGGGCGUAUGGAUAUGCAGUUGCACAUGUCUUACUGCAGUUUUACUGCUUUCAAAACGCUCGCAUUUAAUUAUUUGAAUAUUCAGGAGCAUCAAUUAUUUGAAGAAAUUGAACAACUGUUGAAGAAGGUUCAGAUUACACCUGCUGAAGUUGCUGGAGAGCUAAUGAAACAUAAAGAUGCAGAUGUUGGACUUGGAGAACUAAUCGAGUUCCUCCAAAACAAGCUAACAUCUGUUCUGAUGAAGGCAAAACCAAGAAGACCACAAGCAUCAACAGUCCUUUAGGAAUUUCUUACUUUGUAGGUAAAGAACAUGUAAGCAUUUGUCUCGAGUAUCGGCAUAACACAUAAACUGCUAGAUUUGCCAGCACAACUAUAAAAAACUUGAUGAAUUUCUUUUACUCUCCAUUUGCCAUAAUUUAUUUUAUAAAAAAAAUAUUCAAUUAAAUUUUUAUAAAAUCAAGAAUGAUUUCAUUUUUUUAAAAAAAUAAUGAAUUAAAUUAAGUCUUUGUGAAAUUUUUUUAUUUCAGACAAGGGGUUAAGGUUCAGGUUUAAUAGAAAGACACAUAAAAAGUGCAAAAUCAAAUUUUCCACCGGCCAAUUACUACCAAAACCAGGAACAAAGUUCAGGUUUGAUGCAAACAGUCUAUGACUAAAUUUUGGGAACAUGAGAAAAUUUUCGUUCUUACCAUUUUAAAGAUCUACAGUGCCAUUUUCGUAUCUACUUUCUUCUGAUGAUCAUAACCAAAGGCUUUUUAUCUUUUACAAGUUAAAAAAAAAAAAAAAAUNNNNNNNNNNNNNNNNNNNNNNNNNNNNNNNNNNNNNNNNNNNNNNNNNNNNNNNNNNNNNNNNNNNNNNNNNNNNNNNNNNNNNNNNNNNNNNNNNNNNNNNNNNNNNNNNNNNNNNNNNNNNNNNNNNNNNNNNNNNNNNNNNNNNNNNNNNNNNNNNNNNNNNNNNNNNNNNNNNNNNNNNNNNNNNNNNNNNNNNNNNNNNNNNNNNNNNNNNNNNNNNNNNNNNNNNNNNNNNNNNNNNNNNNNNNNNNNNNNNNNNNNNNNNNNNNNNNNNNNNNNNNNNNNNNNNNNNNNNNNNNNNNNNNNNNNNNNNNNNNNNNNNNNNNNNNNNNNNNNNNNNNNNNNNNNNNNNNNNNNNNNNNNNNNNNNNNNNNNNNNNNNNNNNNNNNNNNNNNNNNNNNNNNNNNNNNNNNNNNNNNNNNNNNNNNNNNNNNNNNNNNNNNNNNNNNNNNNNNNNNNNNNNNNNNNNNNNNNNNNNNNNNNNNNNNNNNNNNNNNNNNNNNNNNNNNNNNNNNNNNNNNNNNNNNNNNNNNNNNNNNNNNNNNNNNNNNNNNNNNNNNNNNNNNNNNNNNNNNNNNNNNNNNNNNNNNNNNNNNNNNNNNNNNNNNNNNNNNNNNNNNNNNNNNNNNNNNNNNNNNNNNNNNNNNNNNNNNNNNNNNNNNNNNNNNNNNNNNNNNNNNNNNNNNNNNNNNNNNNNNNNNNNNNNNNNNNNNNNNNNNNNNNNNNNNNNNNNNNNNNNNNNNNNNNNNNNNNNNNNNNNNNNNNNNNNNNNNNNNNNNNNNNNNNNNNNNNNNNNNNNNNNNNNNNNNNNNNNNNNNNNNNNNNNNNNNNNNNNNNNNNNNNNNNNNNNNNNNNNNNNNNNNNNNNNNNNNNNNNNNNNNNNNNNNNNNNNNNNNNNNNNNNNNNNNNNNNNNNNNNNNNNNNNNNNNNNNNNNNNNNNNNNNNNNNNNNNNNNNNNNNNNNNNNNNNNNNNNNNNNNNNNNNNNNNNNNNNNNNNNNNNNNNNNNNNNNNNNNNNNNNNNNNNNNNNNNNNNNNNNNNNNNNNNNNNNNNNNNNNNNNNNNNNNNNNNNNNNNNNNNNNNNNNNNNNNNNNNNNNNNNNNNNNNNNNNNNNNNNNNNNNNNNNNNNNNNNNNNNNNNNNNNNNNNNNNNNNNNNNNNNNNNNNNNNNNNNNNNNNNNNNNNNNNNNNNNNNNNNNNNNNNNNNNNNNNNNNNNNNNNNNNNNNNNNNNNNNNNNNNNNNNNNNNNNNNNNNNNNNNNNNNNNNNNNNNNNNNNNNNNNNNNNNNNNNUUUUUUUUUUUUUUUAUUUUGAACUUGGAAAGGUCAAAAGCCCAUGACCAAUAAGUUAAAAGUCAAAUGCCUGAAAUGAAUCAAACAUUCUUUUUCAGAGGUUUUAUCCUCAAAGAGUCCGCAGCCCAGGACCAGGAGUAAUUGUUGGUAACCAAAAAAAGGCCACAAAUGGUAGCAACGUGAACAGUAAAUCAAUUUAAAUUACCACAGAUUAGCAUCAACUAAUUAAUGUUUCUUAAUGCAUAUCAAUCCCAAUUAUACACUAAGAAAUUCUGGAACACCAUUUGUAAGAACACCCUCCAAAAUAAAAUAUAUUCGCUUUCGUUUCAUAAUUUUUGUUCACCUUUUUUUUUAAUUAUUUUAAAAUUAUUAUUCACUUUUUUUAUUAAUUAUUAUAAUUUUAUUUUAUUUUCAAAAUAUUUUUUAAUAUGUAAUAAAAUUUAAUAUUUUUAAUAUAAAUAUAAUUAAAAAGUAAAUAAAAAAAUUAUUUUUUUAAUAUAAAAAAACAAGCGGAUAAAAAUUAUAAAAAGAAUAGAGUAUUAUUUUUUUUAUUAAGUGUAAAGCAUUAUACAUCUCAAUUAAAUAUUAAAUUAAACUAUUAAAAACUUUGUGGCAUGUAAAUUAAAGUAUUUAUUUUUUACACAAUUCUUUUUGCCUCAUCAUGUUUUGAAAAAUCUCUUCACUUCAAUAUUAACUAAUUAAUUAUAUCAUCGAAGCCGAGAGCUUCCUUUUGGUAAGGCAUCGGCUGUGCCGCUGCGGCACCACCGGCUGCACCGCUGCGGCACCUUCAUCCCCUUCAAAGUAUUUUCUGAUCACCGGUACGGCACGUACCCCUUGCCGUACCUUCCCUCCGCCCCUGAUUUUAAUGUUUAAUCACAUAUAUCAUAGUUGUCAAAUUUAGAUUCGAAUGAUACUCAUUUCAUAAAUUGAAAAUCUAAUCAAAUAGUAUAAUUUGUUAAAAAUUUCAAAAAUUGAUUAAACAUAAUAUAUAUUCUAAAAAUUAUAUCUUAAUAAUAUAUUUUGAUAAAUAUAGAAUUAUCAUUUAUUUAAUUAAAAAUAUUCUUCAUAAUAAAAUAAUCUAUAUACAUUAUAUCAUGCACUUCAAUAUUAACUAAUUAAUUAUAUCAUCGGAGCCAGGAGCUUCCUUUUGGUAGGGCACCGGCUGCGCCGCUGCGGCACCUUCAUCCCCUUCAAAGUAUUUUUUGAUCGCCGGUACGGCACGUAGCCCUUGCCGUACCUUCCCUCCGCCCCUGAUCUUAAUGUUUAAUCACAUAUAUCCAUAGUUGUCAAAUUUAGAUUCGAAUGAUACUCAUUUCAUAAAUUGAAAAUCUAAUCGAAUAGUAUAAUUUGUUAAAAAUUUCAAAAAUUGAUUAAACAUAAUAUAUAUUCUAAAAAUUAUAUCUUAAUAAUAUAUUUUGAUAAAUAUAGAAUUAUCAUUUAUUUAAUUAAAAAUAUUCUUCAUAAUAAAAUAAUCUAUAUACAUUAUAUCAUGCAGUUUUAUGUUAUAAAUUAUAAAUUUUAGAAUUAUAAACAAUAGUUGCAUAAACUAAAUUCGUAUUUAAAUUUGAUCAAAUAAUUAAAUAGUUCAAAAAAAAUAUUAUUAAAAGUAAAUCGCUAAAGAAAUUUAUAAUUUUAAUUUUGUUGUAAUUAUACCCUAUAAUUUUUUUUAAUCAAUUAAAUCUUGAUUUUUUAAAAUUACUUUAAUUAUGUUCUACUAUUACUUAUACCGUUAAAAAACUAAUAAAAUUGUCACGUCACUCACCAUAUCACAACAGCACGUCAACAAAAUUUAGAAUUAAUCGUAAAAAAAAUUUUAUACUAUAUUUUUGUUGCAAUUUUAUUUUAUAAUUUUAUAUUUUAUCAAGUAAAUUUUAUCUUUUUAAUAUCUGAGCAAAUGCACCCUAACAUUACUUGUAUAGUUAGAGACUCAUCAACUAUAAUUAGUUAAGUAAAUUAACUAAAAAGAAAGAAGAGAGAGGAAAAAGAAUGGUUAGUUGAAGAAAAAUAAUUAAGGAGGGGUUUUAUAUAUACCAAAAAUAAAUAAGAUCUUAAAUUUUAAAAGUAUAAAAUCUGAUCUUAAAUUUUAAAAGUAUAAAAUCUAACAAACAUUUUAUAAUUAAUUAAUUGAAUCGGGUAAAACUUCGGUGUUUAUAUUGAUUCACCUGAUUUAGCUUGAGUCAUAAUUCAUCUUCUAAAUCACUAAACGGUUGUAAAAUUCGAAUAAAAAAUCGUAAGAUUUAAUUACAUUUAAAAUUUAUAUUAUAGAUUUGAAUUAUAAGAUUCAAACAGAGAAUUGUGAGAUUCCAACAACGGUGCAUAUAUCAUAAUAUGAAAUUAUUUUUCUAUCACAUCCUAACAUGAUUUACAAUUAUUAUUAUUAUUUAACUUUUUAUCAUUAUAAUAAUAAAAGAAAUUCCAUGCAGAGUGCCACUUUGCCUGGAUACAAUUCUAAUGCAUGCAGCACUGCAGGACACAGCCAAUAUCGCAUUCACAACAUUGCCAUAUGUUAAAACCAGUAUAGCAGUCGAAACAUGCUAAGAAUCAACAAGUAAAAAUUCUCAGGUACUAGGUGGAAGAGCUACUCAUUUUAUUGGUGGUUUCAAAUUUCAAUUGUUCACUUCAAGGAUUACAGAAAAAGGGCGACUUAAUGCAUGAUGUAUCCUGUGGACUUGGGGGAGGGUUUAUGUUUACUUCAAGUAUUCAAUUGCAUAAAAAAAAAAUAAAAAUAAAAAAAUAAAAAGAAAAGCAUAUUUCAUAGUUCUUGAAGUUCUUCAGCACCACAUCUCCAAAAUACUCUCAGCAAAUUCAGAUAAUGACAGUGACAACCGACAAGUAGCCUCCCAAAUACUGCAGAUUAAAAUUAUUCCAUAACUGCGUAAUAACAAAUGGUGAGUAUCUGACAAGUGGAGAUUGUCAAUAUUUUCCAAAAAUCUAGUUAUGGAAAACAAAUAAAAUGAAUUUUUGAAGAGAACUGAUACCUUCUCUGCAAAAAGUGAAAAAGACAUUAGCAGAUUGUAAUGAAUCUGAGUAUAGCAACAAUCAACAAGUGAAAGAACAAAACGCCUUUCGGUGAAAUGACAGAGGAAAAGGUGACAACAAUGUGAAAAUAGAAGAAUGCAAAUGUAUAUAGAAAGUCCAAGUUUGAUACUGCCUGACAACCAAAUUUUGAUAGGGUGAUGGUCCCUGUCCCAUCAUCUUUCAGGGUGCCACUUGAGAUAAUUUCUUCAACCAUUCUUAGAUGCACAUAAUGUUCAUGUUUCUCAGAAUAAUCUUCAGGGGAAAUGGUAAAUUAUUUAUCUUCAAAAGAUUCCAUGCUACAAUCAAAGUAGUGUUAUGAAAAGUUAUUUCUAUUUAAUAUAAAAUUUAUAUUCUCUACGAUACAUAUUUAUAUAUUCCUAAAACAUGAAAUUUAAUAUAUUUUUAUUAUAAUUGAAAAAUCCUGUAUCAUUCCAUAUAUAUUUUGGAUUCUCAAUUGUAAAUAGAAAAGCCUUUAUAUCAUAAAAUAAUCUAAUUCAAUAAAAAUGUUUUUAUAAACUUUUAAGGUAUUGUGUCCCUAGAUGUAGACUCUUGUAGUCGAAUCUCGUAAAUCAUUUUUGCGUUAUUUUCUUCUUUCCUCUACUAUUCUAACUUUAACAAUUACCAUUAUUAAACUUUGCUGCAGCACUUCUAAAAGGAGUUCCACGUUCAGAAUUCUUUCCAUGAACACAAGUCAAAAAAGACUGUCGAAUAUUGUUUUCGAAUAUUGUUUUCCAUGAACACAAGGACUAAGUAAGCAACCUAAUUAUACUGUUGAUGGAAGUUGUAACUUUGCUUGGUACCAUAAACGAUUACCAAGAAUAUUUCAUGAAAGAGCAAAUCUGCAGAAGGCUAGCCAGAACCAUCCAUCAGUUUCCAACAGGUUUUUUAAAAAAAAAAUCUCCUUCAUAAUCACAAAGAAUCAAGAGAAAAAGAGUAAAAAAAAAAAAAGAAACAACCAACUUCUCCACGGGUUUGAGAGCUUCUUCAAGAGUUAAAUUAGAGAGAAUUUUCGAAUGCAAUAUAAAAUCAUCACAUAUAUUUGCAAAUAGCUAAUGGCUUAAGAGAAAACAUGUAUCACUCAAUUCAUUGAACUCGAUUAGAAGGGCACCUGCGCACAGAGGAAACUGGGAGUCGUUAGGGGUUCCAACCGCCAAGAGUGAGAAGAGCCUCAGGCGAUUUUCCGACCACGGAAUUGGGAAGAAGCUUUUGUUAAUGGGGAACGAAAGAGGGGCACUGCGAUCAAAGGAGGCAACCGGAUGGAGUAAAACAGUAAAAAGGAUAAAUUUGCUCUCAGUAAAAAUUUCAAAUUUUAUUUUUCAUUCUAGCUUCUAAUUAUGUUAAAAAGUCUAUUAUUCAUGAAUUACGUUUACAUAUUUUUAAAUUUUUAAAUUUUAUUUAAUUUGAUAAUUUAAAAUAAAUUUAGGUUAAAAGAUUAAUUUUUAUAUUUUAAUUUUUACUAUAUAUUUUUAAAACAGAGUUAGUGUUUUAAUGGAAAUAAAAUCGAGAAAAAAAUCUUUAAAAAAGUUAUUUCCAAAUGAAUUUCUUUUGAUAAUUUACAAUAUAGUUUUCAAAACACUUCAAAGAAUAAUUGACUAUCAUUAAUCAAUAAGAAUAAGAAAUUAAUUAACUUUAAAAAUAUAAAUUAUAAUGAAACAAAAAAUUAUACAUAUAUAAUUAAAUCGUGUACAAUUUAUUCUACAAAAUUUAUUCAGUUGCUAAUAACUUGAAUUAUUAACUUUAAAAAAUAGAUAAAAUUAUUAAAAUUGAAUUUUAAUAAUUGUAAUUUAAAAUAAUUGUAAAUUUUCAUAAAAUAAUGCUUAAGUUCUUAAUUUUAAAUGUUAAGAAAAAUAUAAAUUUUAUGAAAUAAUUAAUAUUGAAAUUACGAAGUCUGGAGGCGUGUUUGUUUGUUGGUUUCAUUUUGUUUUUUCGGUUUGGGUGUGGACUUCCAUUGAGCAACUCCUCAUCAGAAUAAAAAGGGACUGAGAAUAAUCGAUACCGAAAAUCUCUAAUUGACUUCUUCAGGUGGUUCCAUAGUUAUAAUAAACUGAACAUGCUAUGGACUAGUUUUCCUCUUCUGUCAACUCAUAUUGUUGUGGCUCACUUUCUCGACUGUUUUCUAAAUUUGUAAUGCAUGUUUUUUUUUGUUGAUAGCCGAUUUGAAUUCAUAUUUUUCUUCUCGUGUUUUUUCCUCUUUUCCGGCUAUCCUUUUUUCUUUUGUUGUGGCUAUUCUUGCGGUGUUGUUUUUAGUUUCCUUACUUGAGGCGGGUAUGCCACUUCCGGUGACCAGUGCUGAUGAGGCACAAAUAGAUUACAGCAUUUGCUGCGGUGAGUAUUUGCAUAUUUGUCACGUUGAUCACUAACUCAUGUUCGCGGUUUGGAUUACCGUUUGGGUGACUUUCAUUAAUGAGUCUUGUAUUUUGGAGUGUGGACAUGGUUCUUGAUAUAAUUCUCUCUUUGUACUAAACUCAGUGGGCCAUAAUGAAAUGCAUAACUUUUACAUUGAUAAAAAAAAAAAAAAUUAAAUUCCAAUAUAAUCGUAGCAAAUUAUAUAAAUGCUGACCAUUAGAAAAUAAAUAUUUCAAAACAAAGACUUGAUGGGUAUAUCAAAUAAGAAAAACCCAACAGCAAGAGUCGGCAAUUAAUAUUCUUCCAUCGUAAUUGCGUACAAAUGUGUUGUUCGGUUCCCACUCGUCUCAGAAUUUUUAAUUUUUUUUAAAAAAUUAUUAUUUAUUCUCGGUAUUAUAAAAAAAAAUUAAUUUUUUAAUUUUAAAAAAUAUAUUAAAAUGUAAUUAAAGUUUAAAAAAAUUUAUUAAGUCAAUUCCGUUAGUAUUAAUAGUUAAAUAUUCUAUUUAGUUCUUAUAAUUUAAAAAAAUAUAUUAAUUAAUUUUUUAAUAUUAUAAAAAAAUUUUACUAAUUAAUUUAUCUGUAUUAAAAUAAUAUUAAAUUUUUUAUAAUAUUUAACUUUAAAUUAAUGAAAUUAUUAAUUAAUAAAUUUUAAAAAUUUUAAAAAUAUUUUAAAUCUAUUUUAAUAUAUUUUUUAAAAUUAAUAAAUUUUUCUAUAAUAUAAAAAUUAAAUAUUAUUUUUUGAAAUUUUUAUAUAUAAUGAUUGUAUUGAAUAAUUUGGGUAUUGAUAUUAUUUAUGUUUUUAAAUCAUUAUAAAAAGAUGUAAAACAAGUUGCAUUUCUGCAGCUCAAAACAGAAAUUUGUGACUAAAAACAUUUUAUCAGAAUGAAAAUUUACGUUAUUUUAAUAUGAUUGUGGUAUAAAUAGAUAUAAGAGAGUUUAAUAUAUAAAAAUUUCAAUUAACACAAAACUAAUUAAUCAAAAUAAUUGAGUUAUAACUGAAGAUAAAUUCAAGUGGUUAAUUUUAAUUGUAAUUCUAAAAAUCAAACUAACAUCAUCUCUAAUAGAGUUAUAACAGAAAAUAAAUUCAAGUGAUUGUGAUUCCAAAACAAAACCAACAUUAUCUCUAACAUUCUCCUACAAGAUUAAGGAUCUAUCAUGGAGAUCAAUCUUGGACCUGUUAAUAUAGAAUUUCAUCUUUAUCAAUAGUUUUGUCAAUAAAUAAGCUAAUUGAUCUUUAGACAAAAUAUGAAAAACACGAAGAGCUCCUAGUUGAACCAAAUCACGAACAAAGUGAUCUAUUUCAAGAUGUUAAUGCCACGAUACAGACGAACAUAAUGACAGCAAGAAGACACUAAAUUUCGAAACGGCCUGACUUUAUAAAAAGACUAGUCAAAUAGGUCUUUGGCUAGAGUCUCCUUCAUGAAUUGAUCCUUUAUGAGAUAAAAUCGAGAAAAAAAUUUAAUCGAAAACUUGAUUAGAAUCACAAAAUUAAGAAAUAGAUAUAAGAUUUGUUUUGCCUUUUAGUACAAAAGGCACAUUAGAAAGAUAACAAAGCUUGGAUGGUAAAAGAAAAGUACCAGAACAGUAAUAAACAAACCUAAAUUGUCUGUGAGCUGCAAGCGGCUAUUGAGUCAACAAAGGUCGAAAAAAAUUCUUAACUUUGAAGUACGACACUAUAAAAAAACAGUGAAUUAGCGACCAAACUUUUGGUCGCUAAAAAGAAAGAUUUGGUCGCUAUUAUGCAGUAGCGACCAUUUAGCGACCAAAACGAAAUGGUCAGUGUUUGGCCAGUCGCUAAAGUUUUGGCGACAAUCUGAAAAUUGGUCGCUAAAUUAGUGACCAAUCAGCGACCAUUUUUUGGUCGCUAAUUUGGUGUCAUGGCAAAUUAAGUAUUAGAAAUAUUAGUCGCUGGGUGGAAAUAAAUUGGUCGUUAAAUUUUGGUCGCACAAUGGUCGCUAAUUUGGUCGCUAUUUCGUUGUUAUUUGAUCGCCUCAGGAAAGAGCAUUUAGUCGCUGUGUGGAAGUAAAUUGGUAGUUAAAUUUUGGUCGCGAAAUGGUCGCUAAUUUGAUCGCUAUUUCGUUGUUAUUUGAUCGCCUCAAGGAAGAGCAUUUAGUCGCUGUGUAGAAAUAAAUUGGUCGUUAAAUUUUGGUCGCGAAAUGGUCGCUGUUUUUUUGUUAUUUGAUCGCCUCAGGGAAGAGCAUUUAGUCGAUGUGUGGAAGUGAAUUAGUCGUUACAUUUUGGUCGCGAAAUGGUCGCUGUUUUAGUCGUUAAUUUGGUCGCACCAGGGAAGAGCAUUUAGUCGCUAUUUCGUCGCAAAUUAAUAGUAAAAUUAAAAAAAUAUUUAUUAUUUAAUUUAUUUUUGUGGAUGAUUUGUCACUAAUAAAUACAUUUAAAUCUAAUUCAUAUCAUUUUUUCAAUAAAUUCAUAAACCUACUAUAAUAUCAAUAUGUACACACACAUUCCAAUACAUAAAACAUCAAAGACAAUAUAUAGACAUCAACUUCAUUUCAUAAUUCUGCAAUCUAAAAGUCCAAAAUAUUACUAUAGUUCAACACUAAGAAACUUAAAAUAUCUCAAAAUAUAUAAUGGAUCCAAAUAGUAUCAAAUUCAUAUCAUAAAAUAUAUUAUUUAAGUCAGUGAGUAAUGACAUCAUGCUAAUCCAUAUGUGAAUCACCAAGGGAUCUAUGAGCUGGAGGACUAUCAGAUGAUGAUGGCAUCAAUGAGGAAGACUGCUGUCCCAUCUUCGCUGCCUGUAGUUCAUCACGCAUUUGAGCUAUCAUCUGAUUUUGAUCUUCUACAAGUUUCUGCAAACUAUUAUACUUCUCUUCAAACUUUGCUUCGAUUUCCUUCUUCCAUUCUAGUGAUUGGGAUGAUGGAACAUUUGUUGAUGUUUCUCCAAUUCCUAUUUGAGAGAAGGCAGAAGAGGCAGCACUACCUAAACCAUAAACUCGACUUCCUUGUCAUCCUCCUGCUGCAAUAAUGAACAAUUGAUCCUCAUUAAUA
rnacentral:lncRNA from 1 species